UGCAGAAUCCCGCGAACCAUCGAGUCUUUGAACGCAAGUUGCGCCCGAGGCCACUUGGCCGAGGGCACGCCUGCCUGGGCGUCACGCCAAACACGCUCUCACACCUCAUCGGGUUGUGGGAUGCGGCAUGUGGCCCCCCGUCUAGCAAUAGGCGGUGGGCCAAAGAUGCGGCUGCCGGCGUAUCGUGUCGGACACAGCGCGUGGUGGGCGAACUCGCUUUACUUACCGCAGUGCGUCCGACCUAUAGCCGGCGUGAUGGCCUUAACGACCCUAGGAACGGAGUGCUUGAUGCUCCGACCGCGACCCCAGGUCAGGCGGGACUACCCGCUGAAUUUAAGCAUAUAAAUAAGCGGAGGAGAAGAAACUUACAAGGAUUCCCCUAGUAACGGCGAGCGAACCGGGAUCAGCCCAGCUUGAGAAUCGGGCGGCCGUGCCNUCCGA
rnacentral:rRNA from 1 species